rnacentral:rRNA from 1 species
GUUAAUCGGAAUUACUGGGCGUAAAGCGUGCGUAGGCGGUUUGUUAAGCAAGAUGUGAAAGCCCAGGGCUCAACCUUGGAACUGCAUUUUGAACUGGCAAACUAGAGUACUGUAGAGGGUGGUGGAAUUUCCAGUGUAGCGGUGAAAUGCGUAGAGAUUGGAAGGAACAUCAGUGGCGAAGGCGGCCACCUGGACAGAUACUGACGCUGAGGCACGAAAGCGUGGGGAGCAAACAGGAUUAGAUACCCUGGUAGUCCACGCCGUAAACGAUGUCAACUAGCUGUCUGUGGACUUGAUCCGUGGGUAGCGGAGCUAACGCAUUAAGUUGACCGCCUGGGGAGUACGGCCGCAAGGUUAAAACUCAAAUGAAUUGACGGGGGCCCGCACAAGCGGUGGAGCAUGUGGUUUAAUUCGAUGCAACGCGAAGAACCUUACCAUCCCUUGACAUCCACAGAAUUCGCUAGAGAUAGCUUAGUGCCUUCGGGAACUGUGAGACAGGUGCUGCAUGGCUGUAGUCAGCUCGUGUUGUGAAAUGUUGGGUUAAGUCCAGCAACGAGCGCAACCCCUAUCCUUAUUUGCCAGCGCGUUAUGSCGGGAACUCUAAGGAGACUGCCGGUGAUAAACCGGAGGAAGGUGGGGACGACGUCAAGUCAUCAUGGCCCUUACGGGAUGGGCUACACACGUGCUACAAUGGCAAGUACAGAGGGCAGCAAUACCGCGAGGUGGAGAGAAUCCCCCAAAGCAUGUCGUAGUCCGGAUUGGAGUCUGCAACUCGACUCCAUGAAGUCGGAAUCGCUAGUAAUCGUAGAUCAGAAUGAUACGGUGAAUACGUUCCCGGGCCUUGUACACACCGCCCGUCACACCAUGGGAGUGGGAU